CGCAGUCGCCUCUGUGGCGCAAUGGUAGCGCGUACGACUCGUGAGUGUCUCUAGAAGACCGAAUGUGUGAACCGUUACUAACCCAACCUAGCUAUACGAGAAAUCGUUGGUAAUCGUAAGGUUCGGAGUUCGAGUCUCCGUUGAGGUAU